AAAAAAUUUGUGAUCCAAUCCAACAAUCGUUUUCUAUUUGUCGUUAAUGUUUUAUUUCCUAGUCUCUCUCCUGAAAACUCUCUUUUUGUAACAGAGUGCAAUGCUUUUGUCAGAGGUGUGGCUCACUUCGAAACCAGUGACAGUGACACAUGCAUGUUCUCCCACUCAACGGUCAAGAUUCUCUCUAUCUCCCAUCCCUUUAUUCAACCACCACCGUUCGAUUCAUCCAUAACACUUUCCACCUAUAACCAUAACCAUGCUUCAAUAAAUCACCUUCUCUCUCUUUCUCUCUCUGUUUUUUUUUUUCUUCAUACAUGUGACUCAAAGAACAUGAAGUGGUUUUGUGCCUUAUAA